UAAGACGAACCGUGCGAACGUUAUUCGGAAUCACUGGGCUUAAAGCGCGUGUAGGCGGGCCAUCACGUCGGUCGCUGAAAGCCCCCGGCUCAACCGGGGAACGGGCGCCGAUACGAGUGGCCUGGAGGGGGGUAGGGGGACCUGGAACUUCCGGUGGAGCGGUGAAAUGCGUUGAGAUCGGAAGGAACGCCCGUGGCGAAAGCGAGGUCCUGGACCCCAUCUGACGCUGAGACGCGAAAGCCAGGGGAGCGAACGGGAUUAGAUACCCCGGUAGUCCUGGCCGUAAACCAUGGGCACUGGGUAGGGGGCUCGCCGAUGGGCUCCCUGCCGUAGCGAAAGCGUGAAGUGCCCCGCCUGGGGAGUAUGGUCGCAAGGCUG
rnacentral:rRNA from 1 species